UACAGAGGCCCCAAGCGUUAGGCGGAAUCACUGGGCUUAAAGCGUGUGUAGGCGGACUUCUAAGUACCUUGUGAAAUCCCUCGGCUUAACCGGGGAACUGCGUCUGAUACUGGAUGGCUUGAGUUUGGGAGAGGGAUGCGGAAUUCCAGGUGUAGCGGUGAAAUGCGUAGAUAUCUGGAGGAACACCGGUGGCGAAGGCGGCAUCCUGGACCAAUACUGACACUGAGGAGCGAAAGCCAGGGGAGCAAACGGG
rnacentral:rRNA from 1 species